GCUACAGUGGAUGCGAACUACCCAUGCAGCAGCAGCCGGAACCCACAGUUCACCUUGGUGCGUUCCUUUAUGAUGAAGACUUAUUGAUUCAUUAUAUGAGAAAGGAAAAAUGAGCAGAAACUACUGUAUGAUGUGCAGCUCACACCAGACAGCACCUUUAGGUGCUUCAUGCAGACAUCUAUACACCAGAUUUACUUCUGCAAAAUGCUGAUGCUAUGAAUAAUGCUUUUGAAUAUUAAUAAGGCAAAACAGACCAGAUAAGAUUAGCAUAUUCGUAGUCUGGAAAAUGCUAUACAAAGAAUGUAAAACAUGAAACUACUUGUGGACCAAAUGAAAAACUGUGGAGCAGAUUAUGAUGCAGUUAGACCUUGCUUGAAUGACUUCGACCCACAAAAGCAGAGUAAUUUAUCCCUACUUACAGAGAGAUUGCCCUACGUGUAACAGCUGCAUACAAAAAAGUUAUAAAAUUAUCAUUGGUUUAACAAGGAUAAAUGAAAAACAUUAAAAUUCUCCAACUGAACAAGGUGUGUCUGUUUCAUUGAUUGGCUGACUGUCAAAUCGGAAUCUGAUCUGCCCCAUUGACAAUGCCUUGGGCUUUUCCUC
rnacentral:sRNA from 1 species